ensembl:lncRNA
CCCCUGUUGAAAGCAACCCCUUCUGCAUCCUAUUAAAACCUGUCAGCACCGUGCAGCCCUCCCUGCCAGGGCACUGGGAUGAGGGCAAAGUGAAGCUGGGACCGUGGAGAGCACUGGGGAGUAAAGGCACAGCACUCAGUACUGAUGCAAUGAAAUCUCCAGGAAGGCACAACCACCAUGUGAAAAGCAGAACAAGCCAAGACCUUGGCUUAGAAAGCUUUCUGCAGGAAUUCUCCCAUUGUAACGAGCCUUUGACCUAACCUCCAUUUCUUCUAAUACUGCCUGACAUCUUCCCAUCAUAUGUUAACAGUGUGUGUCUUCAGUGAAAGGCAAACUGACUCUGAUGCUCUGGGCCUAAAGAAAAGCAACGUGGAGGAAGAAAGAAAGAGAAAUCUCGACCUCACUGGUCCUUCCCAGCAAUCUGUUGCUCCAGCAACUGAAAAAUCAAACAAUGAUGUCAAGAAGAUGCAGCCAGCCACGCUAAACCCGAUGUCCAGUUGCUGGAGCAACUCGUUGUUAAAGCAAUUAGCCCAUGCUCAUUACUGGACGUAUGGGGAUACAUCCAAGCGCUCACCGAGACGGGAGGCACAGCACACAACGUGGCACAAACGGGUUCUCCCAGGUCUUGGGCUCCAUUGUAAAACGUAGCAUCAAACCUUCACUACAUCGGGCCAUCAGCAGAUGCCAGGCAGAACACACCUCCUCCCUGGGAAGGGGGGAACCUUGCAAAAUCUGGCAAGAAAAGCAUCCAAGCAGCGAGCAAAGAGCCAACGGUGGCAAACAGGCUGUGAAAGCACUACC